GGUUAGGACGAUACCACCCUGGUUAUGACUGAUCUUAUCUGAACUUGGAAGCUAAGCAGGGUAGGGCCUGGUCACUACUUGGAUAAGAUAAGAUAAGAUAGAACUUUAUUAAUCC
rnacentral:rRNA from 1 species